rnacentral:piRNA from 1 species
UGAGUGGAUCAUGAUAAAGUUGAAAGAAAUU